GUUAAAGUAGUUUAUUAAAACAUUGGUCUUGUAAACCAAAAUUGAGGAUUAAUUUCUCCUUGAACA
rnacentral:tRNA from 1 species